GGAAGGAUCAUUUAAUGAGUUUUGAAAUGGGACUUGAUGCUGGCCUAUACUCUAGGCAUUGUGCUCAGUUCCACUCAAUCCAUCUUAACACCUGUGCACUUUCAAAGUUUGUAGUCCUCCGUCAUGGGAGCCGCGUCUUGUAAUGAGAUGCUGGGAUUGCACUUUGCCCUUUAUCACAAACCUCAUUAUAGUCUUGUAGAAUGUCAUUAGCCUAUGGGCUUAAUGUUAAUACAACUUUCAACAACGGAUCUCUUGGCUCUCGCAUCGAUGAAGAACGCAGCGAAAUGCGAUAAGUAAUGUGAAUUGCAGAAUUCAGUGAAUCAUCGAAUCUUUGAACGCACCUUGCACUCCUUGGUAUUCCGAGGAGUAUGCCUGUUUGAGUGUCAUUAAAUCAUCAAUCUAAUUUCACUUUUGUGAAGUUGGCUUGGAUUUGGAGACUGUUGGACUUCACUUUUGAAGUUUGACUUCUCUUGAAUGUAUUAGUUGGAUUGAAAUGCAACGCUACGUGUAGUGUGAUAAUUAUCUUCACUGCAUAGUCAGUCGCGUUGUCUGAGACUCAGCCACGCUAUAUGCAUGGUGUACUUCUCAGUUUAACGGGUCAACAUCAAUUUUGGUUGGUGGACAAAGGUUGAGGGAAUGUGGCAUCCUUGGAUGUGUUAUAGCCCUCUUCCGUAUACACUGGCUGGGAUUGAGGACUGCAGCACGCCUUUAUGGCCGGGGUUCGCCCACGUAACGUGCUUAGGAUGUUGGCAUAAUGGCUUUAAGCGACCCGUCUUGAAACACGGACCAAGGAGUCUAACAUGCUUGCGAGUAUUAGAGUGGAAAACUCUUAUGCGUAAUGAAAGUGAAAGUUGGGACCCUUCAUUGGGGCACCGACGCCCGGCUCUGAAGUUUACUGACGAUGCUGCGGUAGAGCACGUAUGUUGGGACCCGAAAGAUGGUGAACUAUGCCUGAAUAGGGUGAAGCCAGGGGAAACUCUGGUGGAGGCUCGUAGCGAUUCUGACGUGCAAAUCGAUCGUCAAAUUUGGGUAUAGGGGCGAAAGACUAAUCGAACCAUCUAGUAGCUGGUUCCUGC
rnacentral:misc_RNA from 1 species